GAUGGGCGUGCGCCUGAUUAGGUAGUUGGCGGAGUAACAGCCCACCAAGCCUACGAUCAGUAACUGGUGUGAGAGCACGACCAGUCACACGGGCACUGAGACACGGGCCCGACUCCUACGGGAGGCAGCAGUAAGGAAUAUUGGUCAAUGGACGCAAGUCUGAACCAGCCAUACCGCGUGGAGGAUGAAGGUCCUCUGGAUUGUAAACUUCUUUUAUCUGGGAAGAAACCCUCGAAUUCUUUUGGGGUUGACGGUACCAGAUGAAUAAGCACCGGCUAACUCCGUGCCAGCAGCCGCGGUAAUACGGAGGGUGCAAGCGUUAUCCGGAUUCACUGGGUUUAAAGGGUGCGUAGGUGGGUUGGUAAGUCAGUGGUGAAAUCUCCGGGCUUAACUCGGAAACUGCCGUUGAUACUAUCAAUCUUGAAUCUCGUGGAGGUAAGCGGAAUAUGUCAUGUAGCGGUGAAAUGCUUAGAUAUGACAUAG
rnacentral:rRNA from 1 species